CCAGGUGGCAACUCCAAUAUCAGCACAAUUAUCGGCAAUAACCACCUAGAUACUAGGAACAAUAUACUAUUGCAAUGGUCACACCCGAUGGCUAAACAUGUACAAGUUCAUACCAGAUGUACAAUACGCAGUGCCCCUGCGCAGGCACCAAAAUGACUAAACGUGAUAUAUAUGCUAUGAUUACACAUGUGAAAUAAAAACAUAUUUAAAACAAAAGUUUUCA